rnacentral:lncRNA from 1 species
GUAUGUUGGAUGUGAAUGCUAAAAACUCUAUUUUCUAGUAAUUUAAGCUAAUCAAUUGUUUCUAACACAAAUAGUAAAGAAUUUGAUAGUUAAUAUUCGAGGUCUAGAAUUCGAAGUCAAAUUAUUUUACAUUUUCAGAUAAGUUUAUUUCUAAAAUAAAGUAAAUGAAGCAGAUAGUAUGCAACUUUUCUCUAGCAACCAAAAAUAAUAAUUUAAGCUUUUUUUUUUUUUUAUCAAAAACAUUAGAGAAAGAGGUCCUUGAGUUUGAUUCCCGCUAAAUUCGCCAAUUUAAUUUAAUGUCCUGAGCCUAUCAGACACUCUCGAAUCCAAGCGGAAGGGGAAUGUCGAAUAUUAAUCUAAAAAAAAAAAAGAAUUAAAAAAAAUUAUGUUUUUACAGCUUUAGCAUUUUGAAGGAGAAUAAACAUUGUUUACUAUAAUAUAUCUAGAAUUUAGAAUAAUUCUAUAUAUAAUGUGUAGUCGUGUAUCUUUUAAUUCGAUUAUAGUAUUUUCGGUGGUUGUUAGACCCAAAAAGAUUAACUUGACCAAGCGAGUCUAGGGCUAGAGCUAGUAGUUCUAGGAUGGAUGACCCACUCCCAGAAAAAUGUGUCACCAUUGGUGUCAGAGCUAAUCAUCAGCAGUAAAUAUGAGAUGAGUCUUGACUGAGUCAGAAUUAUAUAGCGGACAAGAGAGCAGCUCUCUGUCGAUGACCAUUGUGGGUGAAUGUAGCUCUCCAUAAGACCAGUUAACACUAGCGAGACGAAUCUCACAUCGCUUGGUGCUUAUAAGUAUACUUGAGUUUAACGAGGGCAUCAAAACAUAAAAGGUGAGAAAAUGUGAUUUCAAGGAUUUGAAAGUUGUAAUAGGACUACAUCUUUUAAAUCGGCUAUAACAUUUUGAGUAGUAGUUAGGUUCAAGAAGUUAAAAGGGUUGAGCAAGCUUAGUGCUAAAAUAAUUCUAGAAUAGAUGA